GGUGCGUGCAGUGCAAGGGUUGCCAGGUUGGGUCCCACAGCGGCUGCUGGGUUGCGCGCAGUGCCAGGGUUGCCAGGUUGGGUUCCACAAUGACAAGGUUGGGGGUUUCUUUUCGCCAAGGUCAUAGAACAUGCUGGACCAGAACAACCCAGCGGUUGUAGAACCGAACUUGCCG